GAUGAACGCUGGCGGCGUGCCUAAUACAUGCAAGUCGAGCGAACAGAUGAGGAGCUUGCUCCUCUGACGUUAGCGGCGGACGGGUGAGUAACACGUGGAUAACCUACCUAUAAGACUGGGAUAACUACGGGAAACCGGAGCUAAUACCGGAUAAUAUAUUGAACCGCAUGGUUCAAUAGUGAAAGACGGUUUUGCUGUCACUUAUAGAUGGAUCCGCGCCGCAUUAGCUAGUUGGUAAGGUAACGGCUUACCAAGGCAACGAUGCGUAGCCGACCUGAGAGGGUGAUCGGCCACACUGGAACUGAGACACGGUCCAGACUCCUACGGGAGGCAGCAGUAGGGAAUCUUCCGCAAUGGGCGAAAGCCUGACGGAGCAACGCCGCGUGAGUGAUGAAGGUCUUCGGAUCGUAAAACUCUGUUAUUAGGGAAGAACAAAUGUGUAAGUAACUAUGCACGUCUUGACGGUACCUAAUCAGAAGGCCACGGCUAACUACGUG
rnacentral:rRNA from 1 species